rnacentral:rRNA from 1 species
AGCGGCGGGCUUAACACAUGCAAGUCGAGCGAGAAAUGGCUUCGGCCAUCAGUAAAGCGGCGGACGGGUGAGUAACACGUAGGUAAUUUUCCUUCCAGCGGGGGACAACGUUCCGAAAGGGACGCUAAUACCGCGUACGUUUCCCGGGACUUCGGUCCUGGGAAGGAAAGCUAGGUAGCAAUAUCCGGCACUGGAUGAGAAGCCUGCGUCGCAUCAGCUAGUUGGUGGGGUAACGGCCUACCAAGGCGAAGACGCGUAGCUGGUCUGAGAGGAUGAUCAGCCACACUGGGACUGAGACACGGCCCAGACUCCUACGGGAGGCAGCAGUGGGGAAUAUUGGACAAUGGGCGCAAGCCUGAUCCAGCCACGCCGCGUGAGUGAUGAAGGCCUUCGGGUCGUAAAGCUCUGUGGGGAGGGACGAACCGCCCGGU